GACGAACGCUGGCGGCGUGCUUAACACAUGCAAGUCGAACGGAAAGGCCCUGCUUUUGUGGGGUGCUCGAGUGGCGAACGGGUGAGUAACACGUGAGUAACCUGCCCUUGACUUUGGGAUAACUUCAGGAAACUGGGGCUAAUACCGGAUAGGAGCUCCUGCUGCAUGGUGGGGGUUGGAAAGUUUCGGCGGUUGUGGAUGGACUCGCGGCUUAUCAGCUUGUUGGUGGUGUAGUGGCUUACCAAGGCUUUGACGGGUAGCCGGCCUGAGAGGGUGACCGGCGACAUUGGGACUGAGAUACGGCCCAGACGCCUACGGGAGGAAGCAGUGGGGAAUAUUGCACAAUGGGCGGAAGCCUGAUGAAGAAACGCCGCGUGCGGGAUGAAGGCCUUCGGGUUGUAAACAGAUUUCGCCUGUGACGAAGCGUGAGUGACGGUAAUGGGUAAAGAAGCACCGGCUAACUACGUG
rnacentral:rRNA from 1 species